UGUGUACGGAUGGUCACAGGUAAACAGAGAAAAAGAGAAAUGUGUGGAUGUAAAACAACAUUUGAGAUAGAAAUGCUAUAAUUUAAAGACAUAAACAAGUAGGGAAGUGAAUGUAAGAAGAGUGAGCUGGCCUCUGCUCACGGUUUCCCUCGCCUUGAAUUUAGAGCAGGCAUUCACCAUGCACUGGCCUUCCUCAGCAGAUGAUGACUGACUUUGCCCCAGCUUCCACUGAUAGACAGCCCUGAGGCUGUGUUCAUCGCUGAGAGGCGUCCCGACCCAGGUUGGGCCAGGUGCUUGUACAGAGCAGCUCCAUGGAUGGUGCCACCUUCUGCUCCUUAGCGCCAGCGGCACAAGCGCCAGCACUUGCUGGCCUCACCAAUUCCGUGCUGCCCCCUUGGCCAGGAUCCAGUGCAGAUGCACUGGGCUGUCAGGAGCUGAGUGACUCCACCGCUGUUCUUGGGCAAUGGGAUGAGCAGCAGGAGUCAGAUGCAAUAAGGGAUUGCCCUAACGCUGCAAGCCGCUGCCCCUUG